rnacentral:rRNA from 1 species
AUGGCGAAGAGAAGGAGCGCAUGGAGCGGUACAGGACCGAGCGCGCCGAGCUGUUGCUGCAGGGCCAUGAUCCCGACGCCAUCAUGGACCGCUGGGAGGAUGAGCAGAAACGCCGGCAGAUUAGCAGCGGGAGGCGCGUUAGGUGUGUGGUCGAGAAGGUUGGGGGCGUGUUUUACGUCCGGAAAGUGGUAG